AUACCUUUCUCGGCCUUUUGGCUAAGAUCAAGUGUAGCAUCUGUUCUUAUCAGUUUAAUAUCUGAUACGUGAGCCAUCAGUCCGCAUGAUAUUAAAUUAAUUUUUCUUCGGGAAAGGGCCUAUUGCAGUAGCUUGCUACUGGGGCUCACAAGCGUCGCCCCUGCAUUGCACUAUUGCAAGGGCCUGGCGCAUCCCAU